GGGCGAUUAGCUCAGCUGGUAGAGCAUCUCGUUUACACCGAGAGGGUCGGGGGUUCGAGCCCCUCAUCGCCCACCA
rnacentral:tRNA from 1 species